CUUAUCGAUCUUAUGACCUGACACAUGCGCAUUUAUGUUUCUUGAACCUUCGCUGGCCCUGGCUCUUUCCUUUCGCUCCUGACCGUCUUCUGGUACAGACGUGUCAUAGCAGAUAUAAGUAAUGAAGCCUCCUAAAAUGGAUAUCCGAAUCGGCUCGAAAGAAUUGUUUACGACGAAGGUUUUGCACAACCGAAUUAAUCUGCAAUCACCACACCGAUUGCAUGAAAGUUAAGGAAUUACGAUGGAACGACGUACUCGAUGGCUUCAAGACAAUGGACGGAAAUUUUAACAUCUAUGAAAAAGUCACGGAAUUCUCCACGCUGAUGUUUACUAUUUUAAACUGACCUGUAUUAUAAUUUUGCUGAUCUUCGAAAUGUGUGUACCAGAUUGGAAUAUUGUCUUCAUUUCAAUAGCACAUUUUUGAGGAAGCUUCUUUUAAAUCAUAAUUAAUGUCUUCCACUGUUUAUUUCGUGUUCAUAUUUCACAUUUCAUACCCACUUUUCACUAACACAUUAUUUUUAAUUUAAACUAUAUUAAGUUACCCUACGACUCCUGUGUUUAUCUUCAGUUAUUUACAUCAGCGCUAGGCCGUUUUCCACUUUCCUACAAUUCACAUUUCACUCAAUGUUUAAUUAUUUACACUAUGUCUCUCAUUGUGUUAUAUUAUUUUAGAUCUUCACCUUGUUGAUUCUUAUAGUCUAAGCUAGCGUAAAUUUCGGUGCCAUCUAUCCUGCUAAGUAUAGUUAGUCAAGAGUUUGUUAUUGUAGUAUUAGGAAUUUUCCUUUUUUAGUAAUUUCUAUAUCGUUAAUGGAUCUUUAAUAAUAUAUUAAUAUUAAACUAGUUAUAGUACCACGGUCCUCGGAUCCGCCUCGUGUGGUAUCCAACGGAUUUAGUGAUGAUCGCUGUUAGUUAAGAGUAAGUAAGUAUAAGAGUUAUUAGAUACUUUGAUUUCUAGUUUCUGAUGUUAUGAUUUGAAGUAAUCUUUUAGGGCAGAAGUUGUCAGUUUGGUUCAUAAUUCUUAGAAUAUAUGGUAAGGUAGUUAGAUCAACGUCUCGUAAGUCCCGAUAGAGUGGGAACUUAUGAGGAUAGUUUGAUAGUUUCAUGACUCUUAGCCUAGUCUCUUCUCGUAGUCAUCUCAAACUGGUUAUAUUAGUAAUAGAUCUCUGUAAUCCUUUCAAAGUUUCAAAAUGUUUGUGUAUUCUAGUCUAUUAUUCGGCCUGGCGACUUCAUACACUGUUCUUUUUUGUAUUGUUAACAAAUAUUUUGAGGAGAGUAAUAAGAAUAGAAAAGGGAAGCCAUCUUGUAUGAUAAGAAAUGAGGCUGUUAAGAAGGAAUUAAAGUGAAAUACAUAAAAAAAAAUAUAUAUGUGUCGAUCAAUUCUCCACCGUCCUGUCCGAUAUACAAAGAACCAUGACCUUACUUACAAUAAUAAUAUUUUCUGAAGCAACUCAGAUCUUUCCGAAAAUUAUUCCUAACAUUUGCUUAUUAUUUAUGCUUUAGCAGUCUGAGAUUUUGUAUUAUCAUAUCAAUUGAUUGUGAUAAAAGGACAGGUGAGUUACACUCUGUAAUUCACUGUCAAAAUGGCAUUUAUUUUCCACUAACUCGCCCGAUUAUAUGAGUGAAAUAAAAAGAUUUUAUAAUAGUAGAUAAAGUUGAAAUAAAUGUUGCGUUGUUUAAUCUUAUUCCGGAUUGAGAAAACGACUGUCAUAUAAUUGUUACCAUAAUGAAAAAUAUUUAUCUAAACUAUUAUAAGCUAAUCCCGGAUCGUGUCUCCUCCAUUCUACACGACACUGGCAGAAUAUAUUGUUCACGUUUUUGCGCGGAUGAAGGCCAUAUAUAAAACAACCAACCAUGAACCAACCUUAAGUCCAUUAGCUGUGGAAACCUGGUUUUAAAAUUCACUUUUAAACUUGAUAGUUUUUCAGUUCCUACCAUUUAUAAUAUAUAAUUUGUUUGUACAUUAAAAUUACUAAAAAUAUUAUUUCCGUGCCAGUAUUUAAAGUAUUGGUCUUCAAAAUAUUAAAUAUAAAGUAAAACAGGUAAGUUUUAAUUUUUUUUAAUGUUUCAUCUGUCUCACAUAGAUCGUUCCUUUGCACGUAUGAGUUGAGGUAAAGUCAACUGAAUAUUAAAAUAUCUGAGGAAUAUAUUUGAGAUAUUGUCAUAAUUAAUCCAUUAGUUUAUAACAUUUGUUUUAGUCGACAACAUAUUACAGUUUUUCCGAUUUCUUUUUGUUCACCAUGUGUGCCUUAUAACAUACCGUGCACUAUCACAACUAUUCUCUUCAUUUUACGCAUAGACUUGCAUUACUGAGCUGGCUGAAAAGGAAUUUUCAUAAACCGAAUCUUAGCAUUAUUAGACAACUCGAAAUUUUAUUCAAAUUUUCAAUUCAUGUCAUAAGACUGAUUAUCCAGAACUCUGAAGCAAAAAAAGUCUACGUAUUGUGGAAAAACGCAUAGUUUUAUUAAUGUGUAAACCACAUUAAUGUUUUUUUAAAUAAUUUUAUGUCUAAUUUAUGUCACUAUAUAUUUAUAUUAAAGUGCCUAUUUAUCUUAACCCCACAUCUGUAUAUUAAUCUGUUUUCCUAUUGAAUACUAAGCCUGUCUGGGAGAAAGGAAGAUGAUAGGAAAAUGUUUGUUUCACCAACGUUUCCUUGUACUUCUAUUUAUCAAGACAAUUUCUAAUCGUAAUGUAUGUAAUGGAGAAAUAAUAAAAGAUAAAUAUUUUGUUCCUCUUAACUUUUUUCGUGCUUAACUCAUUAUGGAAAUGUCAUAAAAUAUAUGUUAACGUUUUGAAACAUUCUGUGAAACAAACUUAUCCUUGGUAUCAAAAUUAUCAAACUCUCUUGAGAAUUUUUUUUUUCCACAUUCUACAUUCAUUCCAGUGCCAAAUAGAAAUAAAUGAUAACUUUACAUUUUUUCAGUAGGUAAAGGUAUCAUAACUUAUAGUGCUUAAUUUAUACCAAUAUUAUAAAAUAAUACGAGAGCGUCAAAUUAAAAUUUAUGUUGAAAGGAAACGUUUAAUUUAAAUCAUAGGUCUUUUCUAUUAUGAUUGAUAAUUAAUUAUAAAUUAUAUAUCUUCGUCUCGCUAUACUCAUAGGAAAAUGAUUAGUGCAAAAGUUUGUGAAGAUUUAAAGAUGAAUGAAAACUUGUUGAUUAUUCACUCAAAAAAUACUCAAGGAAUACUUAUGAAAAUUUGCAGUAAUGUAUACGUCCGAAUUACGUAUAGAUUUAUUUUUUUACAAAAUCUAUGUCGUUCUGUAAAAAAUUCAGCAACAAAAUAGCAUUUUGUUGUUUAUUUUUUAUGUACAAGUUGGGCCUACUUGAUGGGCAGUAGUCACCGUCGCCCUUGGACAUCCGCAACAAAGGUGUUGCGGAUGCGUUGCCAAACUUAGUUGUUGAUGAAAAGGAAGGGGUGGGAAUAAGGAAAUGGCAGGAAAGGGUGGGAAUAAGGAAAUGGCAGGAAAGGUUGGGAAAAGGGAAAGGGCAAACGGCUUUCUCAUUCAUCAGACGAAACGCAGUCAUUAAUGACUACUUCACGCCGAUCAUCUGUGAGAGGAUGGUACUUGCCCCGUCGAGCCAGCCCAUGUUUGAGCUGUAGUUAUUUGACCAGCCAGGCUCUAUCAAAUAUAAAUUUGUAUCAAAUUUCGAGGCUCAGACUGAAUAGAUGGCGCUGCCAUUUGCACUACAUAAUAUAAUCCAUAAAAUUUUUUUAGGAAUACAGUAAUAUACAAUAAUUUUAAAGUCAAAACGGAUAAAUUCGAUAUUAUGAAUAGCAGCAAUGUCUAUUCAAGACAAAAUAUAUAUAUUUUUUUUUUCUCGAAAAUUUCUGGGCAACGAAAGCCAAAAAAUAAUUUAAUUGGCAGAUUUUGGUAAUCAGAGAAAUGAUUUGGGGUCUACUUAUAAACUGUAUAAUAAAGUGAAAUAUUAAAAGUGUUUUGUUUUCAACUUUUUUUUAGUCAGUAAUAAAAAUAUUCAAGUGUAUAUAUGUAUAUAUAAGGGUGUGUACAUAAAAAGGGGUGGCUGGAUAUUUCAUAGGUCGUUAAAUGACAGGCGCGGAACCGCAUCUUGCACCAGACGAGCUUUAUUGAUCAGCGCAUGCCUGAUGCAAUUAUUGAUUUAAGUCGUUGCACUGCGCCGACAAGCUCACAAUCUAUCUGGACUCCGUCGAGUGACGGUGUCCUGAACAGGUUCUGCGUAUCUCAGUAUCAACUAACCCACUGUUGAAGAUGCCUGCGACGGGUAAACUUCGAGUUUUCAACAUUGUUGUUAAAACGCCAUCUGGAAACUUCAGGGUUCUCCAGGCCCUAGAAGACUCGUCUGUCCUCGAUAUGGACUUGGACCCGAAAGACAAUAAGGAGAUACCUCAUCGUAUCAACUUGUUCUAUAACGACACCCUCAACAUCAGGGUGUGGGAAGAGGUCAUGGUGGACCAUAUCCUAACAGAUGUUCUGAUAGGUGUGCAGCCUCCCAACUAAGGUCUGACGGGAUGUCUAUAAGACCUAUUAAAAGUCCUUUAAUUUUAAGUGUUGAGUUCUAAACUCAUAAUUUGUUGUCCCUCUACUCUAUAUCCCUUUUAAAAUGAUAUGUUAAAAGUCUUCUAUUAUAAUUUUUCUAAAUAUUUCUCUGUUAUUUAAAUGUACAACUUGUAAUAAUUUGGUAACUUAUUUAGGUACAAUAUGGCACUAAAUGCAAACCUACCGAUCUUCUUAGAUUCUAGUCGUCAUAUCUAUGUGGAAUAGCUCAUUAGUCAAUUCUCUACGAUUAGAAUUCAGGUAAAACUGUAUUUAGUCUUUAGAAGCAGCAUCGUAUUAAGUGCAAUAUUCAGCGUAUCGUACCUAUAACUGUUAUACUCUUGUAUAAUUUACAUUUACAUUGUUUUUACUAUAUUUUGUAACGUCUUUUUAAAUAAAUGUCAUUUUAACUUG